AUCACUUCCAUCCUUGCUGUAGAUUUUGUUGGGACAUCUCAUCAACGAACAUGAAGCUGUUUCUCCUGAUGGUUCUUGCCACUCUGUUGACUGCAGAAUGUGUUGUUGCAGAACGACAACAAAUCAAGCUGGCCCCAACCAUGAGAACACGGUUCA